rnacentral:rRNA from 1 species
UACGGAGGGUGCAAGCGUUAUCCGGAUUCACUGGGUUUAAAGGGUGCGUAGGUGGGCAAGUAAGUCAGUGGUGAAAUCUCCGGGCUUAACCCGGAAACUGCCAUUGAUACUAUUUGUCUUGAAUACUGUGGAGGUCAGCGGAAUAUGUCAUGUAGCGGUGAAAUGCUUAGAUAUGACAUAGAACACCAAUUGCGAAGGCAGCUGGCUACACAAAUAUUGACACUGAGGCACGAAAGCGUGGGGAUCAAACAGGAUUAGAUACCCUGGUAGUCCACGCCCUAAACUAUGGAUACUCGACAUUUGCGAUAAACUGCAAGUGUCUGAGCGAAAGCAUUAAGUAUCCCACCUGGGAAGUACGAUCGCAAGAUUGAA